CUGGUUUUAAGACACACAGCAGCAUCUGAUCUGGGUUGGGGGUGGGGCAGGGUGCGAGUUUCCCUUGGGGAAGUCUUCUUGCGCUGGGCGGGGAGAGGUCCCCUAAUUUAUCUAUGACAUGCUUCUGAUACUUAUCUCACUACCUUCCACCCAGACCUCACUCUCCUGGGCUCAGACAAGAAUCCAGUUGCCAGCUGAACAUCUCUUAACUCUCCUUGAUGAGAAGGCCCAAGGAGUCACAGGGGAGCUCGCUACCUCCUCCUCACCCUCCAGGACUCAGAUGAGAUGCCCCUUCCUCCAGAAGCCUUCCCGACAGAGUGUCCUGAGAGAUGCCCCAUCCUGUGACCCACACAGUCCCAUACAGUCUCCAUCAGAAGCUUUAGCAUAUUCUGCUGUGAUUCCUUACCUGUGUCCGUCUCCCCGCAGGACCGCAGGCUUCCUAGGGGCAGAACUGUACCUCUGUGCUAUUCACGGCUGGAUCUCCUGCUCCCGGGUCUGGGCAAGGGGCCUGGGCAGUGCUCUGUCAAUGUCUGUUGAAAGACUACAGGAAUUACCAUGCCAUCCGAGCCCGCAUGCACACGGAUUGGAACUACUUUCACGUGUCUCACCCUGUGGAUGACCGCCUCCUUGAGGGUAGGCUCUCCCUGCCUGCAGCCAGAUGCACAAGACCUUUAACUCACCUGGCUUUUGGUGGGUAUUUGCUGACCUAACCAGCGUUCCUGUGAUUCCCCAAUCGCUUCACCAGCCUCCUACUUACCCCAUGGCAGAGUACUCUGUAUUACCGUAGAGAGAUUGCAAUGGGAUCUGGUCCCCACAUGGCUGUUU
rnacentral:lncRNA from 1 species